rnacentral:lncRNA from 1 species
AGAAUAUAAAGAGGAAAGACCAGAAAGCCCAGAAAAGAGCGUUGGGGGUACAUCUAAAUGAAGCAGGAGAUGGAAUACCUGAGAUUAAAGGGUAGGCUGGCCCUCUUUGCACUGGAGGCUAUCCACAUUCCAGAUGGGAGAUACAGCUAACAGCAAGAGGCAGAAAUUUCCUUGUGCUAGCAGAGGCACUGGCAAGCAAUACAAUCAGGAUUAUACAUGUAUUACCAUUUGGGGUUUUCCUAGAAGAGAUACUGGAGUAAUUUACCAUUUCCUUCUCCAGAUAAUUUUACAGGUGAGGAAACUGAGGCCAACAGGGUUGAAUGACUUAAUUUGUUGUGAUUAACACACAUGACCUGCAUAUAUGUUAUUCCCAGCACUGGAUAAAGGAUUUUGCAACUUGUAGCCUCUUAGUAUUUGUCCAAUUAAAAUCCGAAUGUCUGAGCCAGAAAGGCCCUUGAAAAUAAUUUAUUGCCAAACACCACAUUUGGGGAAACUGGGAUGGGUCUAGGUUCAGAAGCAAGAGGAACCUUUAAAAGGAUGCUGCAAGCCAAAGGGAGCAUUGGGAAAUGGUGGACCAGUAGGUGGAGCUAUUCGCCCAAAGGUUACUGAUGCUGCUUUGGCAUUCUCCCAACCCUGAGGGGUAUUUAGUAUUGCUGGGGAAAUUGUGCAGGAGGGGAUUGGUAAUUAAUUGAUCUUCUCCUGGCGUUCUCUAUUAAG